UAAGGGAGAGUGAGAAGAAAGCAAAAGAUAGGACCCCAGGCAUAGCAAAUAUGUUCCUCUGGUAUGAACAGCAUGCCUGGAGAACACCUAGUUCCCCCUGCUUUCUUGGCCAUUUUGUUACACAUCUGGUUAUAUGAAAGAUACCUGUUCGCAUCUUCAGCCUACCAGUAUCUCAGGGCUGUGACCCUCAUGUGUUCAACCUUUACUGUCUGCCCACCUUCGCUUGCUUGGACAGCUUCGUGGCAAGAGGUUCUCUUCACCACCAGCUAUGAUUCCUUCCACUUUCCCUCCAAUCAACAUCCUCUUCUGAUCUCACAGGUAAGAGGGAAGGUAAAGUGCCUCAGGCAAGAAAACCAUUCUGUCCGCUUCCUGCUGGAGGAAUUUACGUUUCAUCACAAUGAAAAGA